rnacentral:rRNA from 1 species
UACAGGGGGUGCAAACGUUGCUCGGAAUUAUUGGGCGUAAAGCGCGUGUAGGCGGCUUACUAAGUCUGAUGUGAAAUCCCAGGGCUUAACCCUGGAACUGCAUCGGAUACUGGUGAGCUAGAGGACGAGAGAGGGUGAUGGAAUUCCAGGUGUAGGGGUGAAAUCCGUAGAUAUCUGGAGGAACAUCGGUGGCGAAGGCGGUCACCUGGCUCGUAUCUGACGCUGAGACGCAAAAGCGUGGGGAGCAAACAGG